rnacentral:rRNA from 1 species
UACGGAGGAUUCAAGCGUUAUCCGGAUUUAUUGGGUUUAAAGGGUGCGUAGGCGGUCUGAUAAGUUAGAGGUGAAAUCCGGGGCUUAACUCCGGAAUUGCCUCUGAUACUGUUGGGCUAGAGAGUAGUUGCGGUAGGCGGAAUGUAUGGUGUAGCGGUGAAAUGCUUAGAGAUCAUACAGAACACCGAUUGCGAAGGCAGCUUACCAAACUAUAUCUGACGUUGAGGCACGAAAGCGUGGGGAGCAAACAGG